GUGGGGAAUCUUCCGCAAUGGACGAAAGUCUGACGGAGCGACGCCGAGUGAGUGAAGAAGGCCUUCGGGUCGUAAAGCUCUGUCAUCAGGGACGAACGGCCGGUGGAUUGGAAAGCCACCGGAUUGACGGUACCUGAGAAGGAAGCCACGGCUAACUCCGUGCCAGCAGCCGCGGUAAUACGUAGGUGGCAAGCGUUGUCCGGAAUUAUUGUGCGUAAAGCGCGCGCAGGUGGGAUCUGAAGUCCAUUUUUAAAGUUCGGAGCUAAACUCCGUGAUGGGAUGGAAACUGGGAUUCUUGAGUACCGGAGAGGAAAGCGGAAUUCCCCGUGUAGCGGUGAAAUGCGUAGAUAUGGGGAGGAACACCAGUGGCGAAGGCGGCUUUCUGGACGGUGUCUGACACUGAGGCGCGAAAGCCAGGGGAGCGAACGGGAUUAGAAACCCUAGUAGUCC
rnacentral:rRNA from 1 species